rnacentral:rRNA from 1 species
CGAAAGGGGCUUCGGCCCUGAGUAGAGUGGCGAACGGGUGAGUAACACGUGGGUGAUCUACCUCUGGGUGGGGGAUAACGUUCCGAAAGGAGCGCUAAUACCGCAUGACGUUCCGGGUUUGAAGACCUGGUAACCAAAGUCGGGGACCGCAAGGCCUGACGCUUAGAGAGGAGCCCGCGCCUGAUUAGCUAGUUGGUGAGGUAACGGCUCACCAAGGCAACGAUCAGUAGCCGGCCUGAGAGGGCGGACGGCCACACUGGGACUGAGACACGGCCCAGACUCCUACGGGAGGCAGCAGUGGGGAAUUGUUCGCAAUGGGCGCAAGCCUGACGACGCAACGCCGCGUGGAGGAUGAAGGUCUUCGGAUUGUAAACUCCUGUUGAUCGGGAAGAAUGGCCUCCGGGUUAAUACUCCGGAGGAAUGACGGUACCGAUUGAGGAAGCCACGGCUAACUCUGUGCCAGCAGCCGCGGUAAUACAGAGGUGGCAAGCGUUG